rnacentral:lncRNA from 1 species
UGAUAAUGCGAUCCCUCGCGAUAGGACGCGGAAAAAAUGUUCGAAACAGAGUCGCCACCGAACUUUAUUCAUUCCAAUGAAGGAAUAGGAAAAUAUCGAGAAAAACAAUUUAGACAGAUACGAAAUUAAACCCGGAAUAAAACAGCCACACCAAAUACAAUGCCGCUACUCAUGAUCGCCUUUCAAUCACAAACAAUCAAACAAAGAAUCCAGAUGUAUGAUGAUAACGAAAAUACAAUUCGACAAAAACAAACAGAAAUAAUUCAAUCUCAGAGAUGCCGCUAAUACCAAUCCAAAUUUCGAGCAGUAAAGUAAAGCCAACGUCAAAAUUUGUUUUGAAUCGUUACCUUCGUGUCGUCGUAUUGAACCAAACACUGGAUAGUCUCUAUCAAAGUUUUGCAGAUGCUCCUCCUUGAAGAACAAAGGCUUCACG